rnacentral:rRNA from 1 species
UACAGAGGGUGCGAGCGUUAAUCGGAAUUACUGGGCGUAAAGCGCACGUAGGCGGCUUGGUAUGUCGGGUGUGAAAUCCCCGAGCUCAACCUGGGAACUGCAUCCGAAACUGCCUUGCUCGAGUAUGGGAGAGGGAAGUGGAAUUUCCGGUGUAGCGGUGAAAUGCGUAGAUAUCGGAAGGAACAUCAGUGGCGAAGGCGACUUCCUGGACCAAUACUGACGCUCAUGCACGAAAGCGUGGGGAGCAAACAGG